CAAUAGCGUAUAUUAAAGUUGUUGCAGUUAAAAAGCUCGUAGUUGAACUUCAGACCUGGCUGGGCGGUCCGCCUAACGGUGUGUACUGUCUGGCUGGGUCUUACCUCUUGGUGAGCCGGCAUGCCCUUCACUGGGUGUGUCGGGGAACCAGGACUUUUACCUUGAGAAAAUUAGAGUGUUCAAAGCAGGCCUGCGCCUGAAUACAUUAGCAUGGAAUAAUAAAAUAGGACGUGCGGUUCUAUUUUGUUGGUUUCUAGAGUCGCCGUAAUGAUUAAUAGGGAUAGUUGGGGGCAUUAGUAUUCCGUUGCUAGAGGUGAAAUUCUUGGAUUUACGGAAGACUAACUACUGCGAANGNAUUUGGNAAGGAUGUUUNCAUUA
rnacentral:rRNA from 1 species